rnacentral:rRNA from 1 species
UACGUAGGGUGCGAGCGUUGUCCGGAAUUAUUGGGCGUAAAGAGCUCGUAGGCGGUGUGUCACGUCGGCCGUGAAAACCUGCAGCUUAACUGUGGGCGUGCGGUCGAUACGGGCAUCACUGGAGUUCGGCAGGGGAGACUGGAAUUCCUGGUGUAGCGGUGAAAUGCGCAGAUAUCAGGAAGAACACCCGUGGCGAAGGCGGCUCUCUGGGACGGUACUGACGCUGAGACGCGAAAGCGUGGGGAGCGAACAGG